GCUGGCACCUUGACAGUACCUAACCAGAAAGCCACAGCUAACUACCUGCCACCACCCGCGGUAAUACGUAGGUGGCAAGCGUUAUCCCGAAUUAUUGGGCGUAAAGCGCGCGCACGUGGUUUCUUAAGUCUGAUAUGAAAACCCACGGCUCACCCGUGGAGGGUCAUUGUAAACUGGGAGACUUGAGUGCAAAAAAGGAAAGUGUAAUUCCAUGUGUAUCGGUGAAAUGUGUAUAGAUAUGGAGAAACACCACUGGCGAAGGCGACUUUUUGGUCUGUAACUGACACUGAGGCGCGAAAGCGUGGGGAGCAAACACGAUUACAUACCCUGGUACUCCACGCCCCAAACAAUGAGAGCUAAGUGUUAGAGGGUUUCCCCCCUUUAUUGCUGAAUUAAAACAUUAAACCCCCGCCCGGGGGAUACGGGCCCCAGGGUGAAACUCAAAGGAAUUGACGGGGGCCCCACCAACGGUGGAGCCUGUGUUUUAUUUCAAACCACCCAAAAAAUCUUACCCGUUUUUGCCUCCCUUAAAAACCCAAAAAAAGGGCUUCCCC
rnacentral:rRNA from 1 species